rnacentral:rRNA from 1 species
AGAGUUUGAUCCUGGCUCAGGACGAACGCUGGCGGCGUGCCUAAUACAUGCAAGUAGAACGCUGAAGGGAGGAGCUUGCUCUUCUUGGAUGAGUUGCGAACGGGUGAGUAACGCGUAGGUAACCUGCCUUGUAGCGGGGGAUAACUAUUGGAAACGAUAGCUAAUACCGCAUAACAAUGGAUGACACAUGUCAUUUAUUUGAAAGGGGCAAUUGUUCCACUACAAGAUGGACCUGCGUUGUAUUAGCUAGUAGGUGAGGUAAUGGCUCACCUAGGCGACGAUACAUAGCCGACCUGAGAGGGUGAUCGGCCACACUGGGACUGAGACACGGCCCAGACUCCUACGGGAGGCAGCAGUAGGGAAUCUUCGGCAAUGGGGGCAACCCUGACCGAGCAACGCCGCGUGAGUGAAGAAGGUUUUCGGAUCGUAAAGCUCUGUUGUAAGUCAAGAACGGGUGUGAGAGUGGAAAGUUCACACUGUGACGGUAGCUUACCAGAAAGGGACGGCUAACUACGUGCCAGCAGCCGCGGUAAUACGUAGGUCCCGAGCGUUGUCCGGAUUUAUUGGGCGUAAAGCGAGCGCAGGCGGUUUGAUAAGUCUGAAGUUAAAGGCUGUGGCUCAACCAUAGUUCGCUUUGGAAACUGUCAAACUUGAGUGCAGAAGGGGAGAGUGGAAUUCCAUGUGUAGCGGUGAAAUGCGUAGAUAUAUGGAGGAACACCGGUGGCGAAAGCGGCUCUCUGGUCUGUAACUGACGCUGAGGCUCGAAAGCGUGGGGAGCGAACAGGAUUAGAUACCCUGGUAGUCCACGCCGUAAACGAUGAGUGCUAGGUGUUGGAUCCUUUCCGGGAUUCAGUGCCGCAGCUAACGCAUUAAGCACUCCGCCUGGGGAGUACGACCGCAAGGUUGAAACUCAAAGGAAUUGACGGGGGCCCGCACAAGCGGUGGAGCAUGUGGUUUAAUUCGAAGCAACGCGAAGAGCCUUACCAGGUCUUGACAUCCCGAUGCUAUUUCUAGAGAUAGAAAGUUACUUCGGUACAUCGGUGACAGGUGGUGCAUGGUUGUCGUCAGCUCGUGUCGUGAGAUGUUGGGUUAAGUCCCGCAACGAGCGCAACCCCUAUUGUUAGUUGCCAUCAUUCAGUUGGGCACUCUAGCGAGACUGCCGGUAAUAAACCGGAGGAAGGUGGGGAUGACGUCAAAUCAUCAUGCCCCUUAUGACCUGGGCUACACACGUGCUACAAUGGUUGGUACAACGAGUUGCGAGUCGGUGACGGCGAGCUAAUCUCUUAAAGCCAAUCUCAGUUCGGAUUGUAGGCUGCAACUCGCCUACAUGAAGUCGGAAUCGCUAGUAAUCGCGGAUCAGCACGCCGCGGUGAAUACGUUCCCGGGCCUUGUACACACCGCCCGUCACACCACGAGAGUUUGUAACACCCGAAGUCGGUGAGGUAACCUUUUGGAGCCAGCCGCCUAAGGUGGGACAGAUGAUUGGGGUGAAGUCGUAACAAGGUA